rnacentral:snRNA from 12 species
ACAUUUACCUAGCAUGGAGGACACCACGAUCAGGAAAGUGGUUUUCCCACCGCAAGGCUCAUUUACACGCACUCCAGGUGUGCUGACCCUAUGACUUCCCCAAAUGCAGGAAACUCAAUUGCAUAUUGCAUAUGAUCAGAGGGCUGGAGAACCUCUC